UUGGCCUAUAAUUAGCUAAGACAGCUGGGUCUAGAGAUGCUUUUUGAGUAAAGGUUUAACUAUCAGAUGAUACACAGGGUCUGAGUGUGUUCUGUUUCCAGCAGUGUAACACAGACUCAUCUGCACAUUAGCAUCAUAAGAACAACAUUUAAACAUUUCUGCGUCACUAGAUUCAUGCAUGAACUGACGAGACGCCGCACACUUCAUUCAAAGGUGCUGCUGAACACGCUGCACACACACAACAGAACAUCUGCACUGAACAAUAAAGGAAGCAGUGAAAACUCUUCCUGCUCAUUUUAAACCAAACUCUCAUCAUCUAGCAUUAGUUACCAUGGUGACGGAGCAGGUCAAACGAGGCACUUUAGUGACCCAGAAAACUGUGACUGAGCUCAGCGUCAGUCGUUGAUUAUUAACCUUUAUAGAGCAGCACUCACACCACAUCCUCACACUGAUCACAGAUCAGUUCUAAAAGUAGAAACAAACUAACAGCAGAGUGUCGUCUCUGUGCUUUUAAAGCUUUAAACUUCUGUUUUUGUGAACCAGACCUUCAGACAGCUGCUUCAGGUGGAGGAGUGAGGUGGUGCCACCACAGAGUGGUGUCUGAGGCAAAGCGGGUGUCAUGUUACUGCUACACAAACUGACACCGUGUGCUGCGUCGAUCCUGAGUCUGCUCUCUCUUUGUUUAAGCCUCUGUAGAAACCGACACUUCUCAUUAAACCGUUGGUGAUUUCCUUUUUCACGUUUCCUGCCAGCGAGGCGACGAAACUGCAGCUGUGAACGGAGCCGAGUAAGCUCGGGUCAGGAUGGAGUGAGGCAGACCAGGUUGAAGCCGUGGAGGUGGAGUCAUACUUCCUGCUGUCAGGAGAGGAGGUGGGCCACGUGGCGAGAGCUGGGAGGACAACAUCCAGGUUUGAGGAGCCUGAGAAGGAGCAAAGUCCCCCGUGGAUGAGCAGUGUCGUGCACGCCCGGACUCUGAAGUCCUGGCUUUGGUUCCCAGCUGUGAAACACGACUCCGACCUGUGAGGAGGAUCGUCUUCCCGUGACGGUCGUGGUGCAGAGGGUUUUAUUACUUUGGCCUCUGUCAGAGACAUCCAGAUCAUUGCUUCCUCUGGUGCUCUGCCUGAUCUGGGAGAAUCUGGCUCGACUUAUUGAACUGGCUGAAACCAGGAAGCAGCAGCCAACAUGAAUCAUGCUGUGAGCGCAGAUUCAGCUGUAGAGCCCUCAGACAGGAGCCCCGCCCUCUGGUCUGUGACCUCAGCUGUUUCCUCUUAAGCCCGGUUGCCUGUUUUCUGUGUGAUGUCAUCAGAGCAGCUGUUUGGUGGUUGUGGGCAGCACGCUCCUGUUUUCAUGUUUCAUUAACCAGUUUCAGCUGAAACUGAAUUUAGAUGUGGAGCUCUCAGACUCGUGUCAGAGGACACACUGACAAACUUCCACAGACCCAGGCUGGAGCUCUGAUUGGUCGUCUGCUUUAACCUGUACUACAAAGCUAACACACACAUGUAGAAAAUAACACGUAUGAGAGAGAGUGGAGUCUGAAAGUGAUCGCCCACUUUGUCACGGUAGGCUAGCUGACUGUAGCUGAGCAUGUGAGCACGUCUCUCUGACCCUGUAAUGAACACGUGGAUGACAGACUACAUAAGACUGUAUGUAAUUCAGAGACCGAAGAAUCUAAAACAGUAAACAGAAUACGACAAAUAUGCCUAAAAAUGUUUGAUCUUGCUCAAAAGUCAAAUAACAAAAACACUGCCAGAACAUCUACAGUGUGCCGUGACGCUGUGCUCCUCACCUGGAAGCUCGGCGCUCCAACACCGACGCUUCAGAAAGAGCUCAGUGUUUGUAAAGCUGCUGAGCUGCACGUGUUUAAACGGGGUUUUAACAGGAAGCUGCGACGUUUGGUACAUAAGAACAAAUCUUUAUUUAUAAAACACUUUAAAACAACCACAGCUGACCCAAAGCGUUGUACACACUGAAUAAUAAAAUUACAUCAGAUAUAAAUAAAAGCCAAAUAAAAGAAAAAAGUUAAAUAAUAAAUUUGUUUUUCAUGUAAUUAAAUUAGUUAUUAAUGAAGUCUCUGUGACGUCAAAAAUCAAAGAAUAAAAAUGUGUUUUAAACGUAGACAGUGAAGGGGCCUCUCUAAUGUGCAGGGGUAAGUUAUUCCAUCAUCUAGGAGCCACAACAGAAAAGGCCCCGCCCCCUCUGAGCUUCCUCCUGGAUCUCAGUACUUCCAGGAGCAGCUGGUCAGCUGACCUGAGAGGUAGCAGGGUGUGUGAGGA